UACGAAGGGGGCUAGCGUUGUUCGGAAUCACUGGGCGUAAAGGGCGCGUAGGCGGCUUUGUAAGUCGGGGGUGAAAGCCUGUGGCUCAACCACAGAAUUGCCUUCGAUACUGCAUGGCUUGAGACCGGAAGAGGUUAGUGGAACUGCGAGUGUAGAGGUGAAAUUCGUAGAUAUUCGCAAGAACACCAGUGGCGAAGGCGGCUCACUGGCCCGGAACUGACGCUGAGACGCGAAAGCGUGGGGAGCAAACAGG
rnacentral:rRNA from 1 species